AGUGUAGGCGGCUACGUAAGUCGGUUGUGAAAGCCCUGGGCUUAACCUGGGAAUUGCAUCCGAUACUGCGUAGCUAGAGUCUGAUAGAGGGAAGUGGAAUUCCGGGUGUAGCGGUGAAAUGCGUAGAUAUCCGGAGGAACACCAGUGGCGAAGGCGGCUUCCUGGAUCAAGACUGACGCUGAGGCUCGAAAGCGUGGGGAGCAAACA
rnacentral:rRNA from 1 species